AGGUGAAUAGCUGGGUCAAAUGGUGGUUCCAUUCCCGGCUUUCCAAGGAAUCUCCAUACUUCUUUCCAAAUUGGCCAUACCAAUUUGCAGUCCCACCAGCAAU
rnacentral:pre_miRNA from 1 species